rnacentral:rRNA from 1 species
GUGAGGAAUAUUGGUCAAUGGGCGGAAGCCUGAACCAGCCAAGUCGCGUGAGGGAAGACGGUCCUAUGGAUUGUAAACCUCUUUUGCAGGGGAGCAAGGCGCGGUACGUGUACCGCGAAGGAGAGUACCCUGAGAAAAAGCAUCGGCUAACUCCGUGCCAGCAGCCGCGGUAAUACGGAGGAUGCGAGCGUUAUCCGGAUUUAUUGGGUUUAAAGGGUGCGCAGGCGGACUGUUAAGUCAGCGGUAAAAUGUCGGUGCUCAACACCGGCCGGCCGUUGAAACUGGCAGCCUUGAGUGAGCGAGAAGUAUGCGGAAUGCGUGGUGUAGCGGUGAAAUGCAUAGAUAUCACGCAGAACUCCGAUUGCGAAGGCAGCAUACCGGCGCUCAACUGACGCUCAGGCACGAAAGCGUGGGUAUCGAACAGG